AAGGAUCAUUAUUGAAGCAAAAAUAUAUAGUCUUGGAUUUGUAAAAGAAUCCAAGCUAUUUAUAUUCUUCUAUAAACCCACUGUGAACCAAUUAAGAGACUAAAGUAUAUCCCUCACGGGACUACUUCUGUUUCGCUUUAAUCGGACAGAAUACAUGUAAUGUGUAUACUGGUCGAGGACGAACCAAUUUGUUUUGGUCGGCCGAAUUACCUUUUUAAAUUCAAAAAGAUGAAGAGAAUGACAAGAAAUUUGAUAAACAAAUUAAAACUUUCAGUGACGGAUCUCUUGGCUCUC
rnacentral:misc_RNA from 1 species